rnacentral:rRNA from 1 species
UACGUAGGGGGCAAGCGUUGUCCGGAAUCAUUGGGCGUAAAGCGCGUGUAGGCGGCCCGGUAAGUCCGCUGUGAAAGUCCAGGGCUCAACCCUGGAAUGCCGGUGGAUACUGUCGGGCUCGAGUCCGGAAGAGGCGAGUGGAAUUCCUGGUGUAGCGGUGAAAUGCGCAGAUAUCAGGAGGAACACCGAUGGCGAAGGCAGCUCGCUGGGACGGUACUGACGCUGAGACGCGAAAGCGUGGGGAGCAAACAGG